UCUGGGACAGCUCAGUUGGUAGAGCAUGAUACUCUUAAUCUCAGGGUCAUGGGUUCAAGAAGAGAUUCCAGCAUAGCAGAG